rnacentral:rRNA from 1 species
UUAUCUCUGUAGAGUCUGCAUAUCAAUAAGCGGAGGAAAAGGAACUAACUAGGAUUCCCUCAGUAACGGCGAGUGAAGCGGGAAGAGCUCAAAUUUGAAAUCUUCAAGGUUUUACCUUGACGAAUUGUAGUUUAAAGAAGUGUUUUCUGUUGGAGUUUUGGUAAAAGUUCUUCGGAAUAGGACAUCAUAGAGGGUGAGAAUCCCGUAUUUGACCAUUAUUUCCAGCUUUGUGAUACACUUUCAAAGAGUCGGAUUGUUUGGGAAUGCAGUCCAAAAUGGGUGGUAAAUUUCAUCUAAAGCUAAAUAUUGGCGAGAGACCGAUAGCGAACAAGUACCGUGAGGGAAAGAUGAAAAGAACUUUGAAAAGAGAGUUAAACAGUACGUGAAAUUGUCAAAAGGGAAGCGUUUGACACCAGUGUUGUUUUCCUCGAAAAUCAAUUAAAAAUGGCGGGAUUUUGUGUUGUAUUGACUUUAUCAGCUUUCUGCACUUUUUUCCUGUCUUUUUUAAUGCACUUUUCGUUUAACAAGUCAACAUCAAUUUCUUUUGUUGUAAAAGGGUCAUUGGAAGGUGGCUUUCUUUUCGGAGAAAGUGUUUAUAGCCUUUGGCCUCUGCAAUCGGAGAGAUUGAGGUCUGCAGCGUAGAUCCUUCGGGGUUAGAUACAUUUGUGCUAAGUUAUAGCCUUUCAUAGACAACUUGUUGACUAUGAUCAGUCAUGUAGCUUACUCGCUUAUGCUAUUUUACCUACGCUUAGGAUGUUGAGUCAUCACACAUCUCU